AUUGAACGCUGGCGGCAGGCCUAACACAUGCAAGUCGAACGAGUGGCGGACGUGUGAGUAAUGUCUGGGAAACUUCCUGAUGGAGGUGGAUAACUACUGGAAACUGUAGCUAAUACCUCAUACCAUCAUAUGUUCCCAGAUGGGAUUAGCUUGUUGGUGGGGUAACGGCUCACCAAGGCGACGAUCCCUAGCUGGUCUGAGAGGAUGACCAGCCACAAUGGAACUGAGACACGGGCCAGACUCCUACGGGAGGCAGAAGUGGGGAAUAUUGCACAAUGGGCGCAAGCCUGAUGCAGCCAUGCCGCGUGUAUGAAGAAGGCCUUCGGGUUGUAAAGUACUUUCAGCGGGGAGGCGUUACCCGCAGAAGAAGCACCGGCUAACUCCGUGCCAGCAGCCGCGGUAAUUG
rnacentral:rRNA from 1 species